rnacentral:rRNA from 1 species
UGCGGAAUUUUAGAUAAUGGAGGCAACUCUGAUCUAGCGACGCCGCGUGCAGGAAGAAGGUCUUCGGAUUGUAAACUGCUGUGGUAAGGGAAAAAUGUCAUGUAGAGUGGAAAGCUACAUGGAGGGAUGGUACCUUACUAGAAAGCCCCGGCUAACUACGUGCCAGCAGCCGCGGUAAUACGUAGGGGGCGAGCGUUACCCGGAAUCACUGGGCGUAAAGGGAGCGUAGGUGGCCUGACAUGUCAACUGUGAAAACCCGGAGCUCAACUCCGGACUUGCAGUUGAAACUGCCAGGCUUGAGGACGGUAGAGGAAGACGGAACUGCCAGUGUAGGGGUAAAAUCCUUAGAUAUUGGCAGGAACGCCGGUGACGAAGGUGGUUUUCUGGGCCGGUUCUGACACUGAUGCUCGAAAGCCAGGGGAGCGAACG